AAGUUGCCCUUAGUAAAGUGUAACAUAAAUUUAAUGUUUCUCAUUUACAUUGAGAUGAUAUCUGAUCGGAUCUCUUUAA
rnacentral:tRNA from 1 species